rnacentral:misc_RNA from 1 species
AGCAGAAUCAGCUUGAAGACUAACAAUCGGGACUACGAAGGCGAGGAAGAGAAGGGGAUUCCUCAUGGUAACUGAACAACCCAACACUGAAAAUGAGAAAGAGAGAGAGAUUUGGAACAGGGCAAGGAUGAAUCAGAAGGAAAUGGGGGAAGAGAGUUCCAUCUUCUUUCUUUGGGAAUUCAUUUCCUUCUUUCCUUCUAGUGAACUUAGGAAUUUGAAGGGGGGAAAUGGGUUUGGUUUGGUUUUGCUUGGGAAUCUCUGUGUUUAGUUCAAAGAAUCAAAGAGGCCAUCUUGUUGUUGCUCGCAUUCCAAUCCCACUUUCGUCUCUUCGUUUUGAAAUGGUGUUUAGAGUUCGAGUCUGGAUUUUUG